GGGGAGAAAAGAAGAUUAUUGAGAUUAGAUGAUUUUUUUCUUACAUAUUUAUUAUCCUGUUCUGUCCCAAUCAUCUCAAUAUUCAAAAAGUAGACUUGGAGGCUAGCAUAAAGAAAAGAACAGCCAAGCUUCUGAGGGCUGUUGAAUUUUUAAUCCUCUAACAUUUUUCUCCCCCUUCUCUAUUUGUUGUCUAUUUUCAAAGCCCUAAAGUAAAGAGAUUGUCUAAACCCCAUUCUUUGGCAGCCAUUCAAAAAGCUACGUCUUGUAACAUGACUGGGGAAAACCAGGAGUUAAUUUUUAGACAAAAAUUUAGGAGUCAGUAAUGAUGUUUUUAAAAACCUCAAUGUUUAGCAUUGAGGUGAGAUAUUUAAGUAAUAAAACUGAUGGCUCAGUGAUCAGAGCAUCAACAGCUCUCUGCCGGCAAAUCCUGGUGCUCUUUAUUGCUGUGGUCCUGUUCCAGCCCCAUAGCAGGAGAUUGCUAAUGAUCUGGGCUUGGGAUAUACACCUGUGUCCCUCCAGGGUCGUGGUUCUCUUCUUUUAAUCUGUUUCCUUCCCCAGCCUCAGAGUCUUCACCUGUGCUUUAGUGUGACAGGAUUUGCUGCUUUCCCUCAACUUGCUUAAGGCUCUUGCCCUCUGUAGGGGAGAAGGCUUUAGGAGGGGGUCUGUGUCGUGCCAGCAAAGACUGCCCCUGUGCCAUGACAGCUCCAUCAGGAAGCCUCCUCUCUUCUCAUCUGCUGCUCCCAAUCUUUCUCCUGAGCACCAGAAAUUACCUUGAGAAGAAGCCUGAAAAGGUGCAUGGUGUCCAGAAGCAUCUCCUCCAGCCAUGUGAAGAAGGACAUAUUUGCUUCCCUUGCUGCCAUGAUUGUAAGUUUCCUGAGGCCAGCCAUGCAGAACUGAACUGGAAAUGAAAUCCUUCGAAGAAAAAACAGAGGGUUGGGAAAUGGUAAAAGACCUUUUUGAUCUCAUCCAUCUUGAGGGAUGCGGCCUAAAGCACAUACAGUCCUCCAAAGAAAAAGUAAUGCCGUGUUACAAAACAGGUUUCCUAUUUUGAUGCACCUGGACAUACCGAGGACUAAACUGUCCUUAGAAGGGAUGUGCACAUUCACAUCAAGACACAAGACAACACCAUCAGACUUCUGGAAAUUAUUUAAAACUUAAGUUUUGGUUAUGGAUUACUGUUGGAGCCACAUCUCUGAAGGACAAUAAUAAAUGGAUUCCAGACACAUGGACAGACCCAGAAGACUCCAAAGCAGGGGCAAUAUUGCCUGUUUCUAGCAAACCCAUAAAAAUGAAACAAUUGGGCACCAAUUGUUUUAGAAAAGCCCACUCUCUUCAAAUGUGAGAUGAAAAAUGAGAAGAAAAAGGUGUUAAGAAGGACCUAAUUAAGAAUUUUUAUGUUACGUAUUUGAACAACUUGACUCUGAUGCAACAUCAUGAUGUAGGGAAUGGUUCAGAAGUCAUACUCGUGAAGUAGAAAGAAAAGAAAAACAAACAGAAAGUUGCACCAGAAUUAGUGUGGCACUGGUUUAUUUCCUACCUGAUUGUAAAGGAAAAAUUGAGAUAUGCUAAUUUAUCAUGCAGCCGCAUAACUUCAUAAUGCAAAAUUUAUGAGAAGAGAUGAGAGGAAAUUGGAGAGGAACAUUAUGGGAGCAAUAAAUACUUAUAUAUACUUAUAUAUAAUACUUAUAUAUAAUUGCAAAUAUUAUAAUGCUGUUGCAUAUUAGUUGAGACCAUUUAGGUGAUUAUUUAGGCUAAAAGUAUAUAUAUAUAUAUAUAUAUAUAUAUAUAUUUAAUUAAAAUACUAUUUAACUGAGCCUCUUGUAGGGGUUAAGUACCCUUCUAGGUAUUGGGGAUACAUCAAUUUCCCAUAUAAAGAUUCCUGUAGAAAUCUAUAUAUAUAUAUA
rnacentral:lncRNA from 1 species